rnacentral:rRNA from 1 species
GAUGAACGCUGGCGGCGUGCCUAAUACAUGCAAGUCGAGCGAACGGACGAGAAGCUUGCUUCUCUGAUGUUAGCGGCGGACGGGUGAGUAACACGUGGAUAACCUACCUAUAAGACUGGGAUAACUUCGGGAAACCGGAGCUAAUACCGGAUAAUAUUUUGAACCGCAUGGUUCAAAAGAGAAAGACGGUCUUGCUGUCACUUAUAGAUGGAUCCGCACUGCAUUAGCUAGUUGGUAAGGUAACGGCUUACCAAGGCAACGAUGCAUAGCCGACCUGAGAGGGUGAUCGGCCACACUGGAACUGAGACACGGUCCAGACUCCUACGGGAGGCAGCAGUAGGGAAUCUUCCGCAAUGGGCGAAAGCCUGACGGAGCAACGCCGCGUGAGUGAUGAAGGUCUUCGGAUCGUAAAACUCUGUUAUUAGGGAAGAACAUAUGUGUAAGUAACUGUGCACAUCUUGACGGUACCUAAUCAGAAAGCCACGGCUAACUACGUG